ACUGCACCACUGUACAAGCUGAGAUUGUCCCUGGAUGACAAAGUGUUAUAGGAUUCCUUCGGUGCCCCUUCGCCAGCUGAAAAUCUCUGUGGCUGCCAUUACCUCUGCCUGGGUUCUCACGCUGACCGACCAGGGUUGCUCUCCUCGCUCGGCCCUGCAGGCUGCACUCGACUCGUGCCACCAACCCAGAUCCUGUGCCUGCUGUGGCUCUGCACUCAGCCCACGGGCUGGACCAGGCGUGCCGCCAGCGGCUUCCACCUUGGGCACCCGCAUCUAGAUGAGCGGAAGUUGGUGGUGCCUGAAAACAGGGAUGCCAGCAACCGUGAAGCCUGGGGAGUCCUGAGAGCUGAGCCCCUAAGAAAUGUUAUGGCUGCUGUAGUUCAGCGAGCAGCAGGGAAUGGCGCCCAGUGGCUUUUUCUCUCCUACUGCUUGGCGAGCGGGAGGGCGUGGUACCCGCAGCUUGGCGAAUGGGCGCGUGUUACAGCUUUCCUGCUCCCGCUGCCCCACAGCUCGGGGUCAAGCAUCCUGUUCUGGUUCAUUUUGAUGAAGACAAUGGCAGCAAGGCCAUUGAGAGUCUAAAGAAGAAUAUCUCCAAGCAGGAGUCGCUCCUCAGGGCACAUAACCUCAACGACAAGAGUUACACAUUCCUGAUUUCCUCUGACUAUGAAUAUGUCUAACAGAGGGAGAACUUGUGGAAGCAGCAGCAGAAGUAUUUCAAAAGCUUUUCUCUGAUGUUUGUGGAGCUACAGAUGUUGAUCAACAUGUCUGUCAAACUUCAGACUGCUCACAACAUUCUAAUGACUGUCAACAAAGAAGAUGGUGAAUCUCCUGAGUAUUACAGGUUUCUGAAUAUUGUAGUCCACUCCACCACCAGACUAAAGCAGAGCUUAUGUCUGUACUGAACCCUGGAGAUAGAUUUCUAUUGGUGUUUUGUCAAUUAUAUAUACUUAAAAAUUUGAGAAAGGUAAUAUUUCAAAUAAACAACAAAUAUAUUGCCUAUUGAAGAUGCAACAUGCAUGCAUAUACAUUACUUAAUAUAAGAAAUAAAAUAUAUUGUGAUCUUUCUACUCCUUAGCUCAGCUGGGUCCAAGUUUUUGUCUCAUGACCCGGAAGAAUUAGGCACAUGGACACUGGAGUGAGUGGAGUAGAAUUUUUUAAGCAAAAGGAAAGCUCUCAGCAGAGAGAGUGGUCCUGAAAGCAGGUUGCCAGUUACCCCCUUCACGGUUGAAUACAGGGAAUUUUUUUUAUAAGCUGAUGAGGCUGGGUUCGUUGUUUGUAACAAGGUGCAAAUUCCUGGCAGCUCCACCCCAUCCUUCCAGUGCACAUGCGGGCUC
rnacentral:lncRNA from 1 species